GCAGUCUGGUUUCAUACAUGGACUUCAAUAGUUCGGCGCGGGCACCGGCAAGAGCUUGCAAGAUCGACAGCGACGUUCGCUGUACCCCGGUGGCAGUGUUUUUGUCUAUUUUGUGUGACUAAUCCGCAAUCGGCAAUCGGUGCUUGGCCUCGCCGAUGAGCUUUCAAAUCAACCAAGGCGGUAAUUACAAAAACACGUCCAGAUUUGCUAAGAGUGCAGCUGAGCGCCGACUUUUAAAAAUCAAACUGGCAGAAAUAACAGUUUUAUUUUUUGUCAUUGAUUAGCAUAGCAUAGGCAUAGUCACCUCACUCGUAUUCGUCGGUUGCUAGUGGUUGCAUUUUUCUACCCUUGAACAAUCGAUUAGCAUAGGCAUGGACAGGAACAUUCAUUGACACUGAACGUAUUGAUUAAUUGACAACAUACGAUGUACGAUACACACAUAUGCUAGAAUAUACAUAAAUACUUUAUGAGUAUGUAUGUAUGUACAUACGUUGUACAUCAAUUAACCGAAUGAGGUCUUUCCGCUCUUAUCUUUCGGUGGCGCGUGUGGUGUGUACCUCCAGUGAAUUUUAGUGCCAAGUGUAGUGUGUAGUAGUUGUACUUGUGGCAACCCAAUCAUUCGACCUUUGUUUCUGUGUUUAAGCACAGUGGACAUUGGCUUGCGCGAGAAUAUGUGCAUAUGUAUGUACAUAUAUACAUUGUGCAUGCACUUUAAUUCUGAUGUGACUAAUGUAACUGUAACUUAAAAAAAAUUGGUCAGAGUACACGGCCUCUUUGCCUGGCUUAACAAAAAACCAUAGCAAAGUGUGAAGAAAAAGAUUGGUCGGCUAUUUAAGAGUCUUACAAUGCCUCCAAGGAUUAUUAAGAGCUGAAUUAAACGGCAAAGUUGUUCUGUUAGCUAGAUCAAGUGAAUACUGUACCAGUGCUAAAAGCUUCCAAUCAGCUGAGUGGUCUGCUCUAUGUAGGAGUGAGUUCAUUGAUUAAUGGAGCUGACGUUGUCGUUUCUUUCUUUGCGAAUCUUAUCAGAGAGCAGUGGCAGCAAAAAUGAAAAAAGGCCCAUUAUUGGCGCUCGGGAACUCAUUUGUGUAUAUUUCUUAUAUGGCUUUAUGUUAUUGGAAAACAAUCGAAUGUAUUUUUAAAGGAAUUAUUAAUAGGGAAUUGCAUUGUACAAAAGCUCGUUGGCUGGAGCAAAGUCCAGAAGAAGGUUGUUGAUGUAUUUAUUCUGUGUUGUUGAGUAAAUAAUAACUAAAGUGGCUUAUCUUUGUUUUUGUUUUUUGUUUUGAUUUGCUAGUCGCUAUUCGCGAAUGAACCAAGAAUUCAAUUGCAGCGUCAGUUGUCUUUGUAUGCUUUCGUUAUGUUGGCAUUCGAAAUUCAAGGGCAAGCCCAUCGUUGAAAUGCUAAUUUUGCACUAUGACCUUCCUGUGUUAUUUUGAAGUUCGAGCACGUGGUGAAUCACCAAACGAGUCAACAUUCCACUUUGUGAAAUCCAAUCGCUCUACCAGAAAGGGCCUUAUAUGUAUUGUGCGGAUAUGGCUUGAAAUUUCAGAGUCUAAAAUGAACCAGGCUUGUACUUUUUAUAAAUAGCCUUAAACCAAGAUAAUGACAAAAAAUAUUUUUGAUCCAAAUUUAUAUCACAUUUGGUUUGUGUGUUUUGAUGAAAGACUUGGAAGUAUAAUUUGAAUUAAUGAAUGAAUGUUUGUGCCAUUUCAGGGGAUUCAACAUACAUUUUUGGCAUUUUCUAUAUGAAUGACAAGAACGCGCAAGAACAUACAUACCAUACAUAAUACAUAUAUGGGAGGAAGGUUUUUAUUUUUGUACCGUCAUUUAACGAACCUUAGAACUUUUAGAAAUGCUUAUUUUCUGCUGUCAGACACGUUUGGAUGAAUACAAUAAAUUACAUAUGUCUGUACAUACAUAUGUAUAAGUUAUACCCUUGUAUAGUUGGUGUCAAAAGUCAGGUGGUGUCUUCCCACCUACGUGUUUAGGUAAACGAUAAAGUUGGAAUUUCUAGCAACUCUAAGUCUAAGAGGGCUCAACGCAUGUACUCGUACUUAUCUUUGCUCCUGGUACUGCUUCAAUCGGCAGCAACUCGUUCAUUGGACAUGGAACGGUGAAGGACAGGGUCAGUCAUUGAUAUAUUAAGUCACAUUUCAAUACUGUUUCAUACUGUCAUCGCUUGUUGGGUAAAGCUUUCAGUAAUUGACAGUGUGUAUGUGGAAAAUUCUAAUGAGAUGGACGAACAGCGUGAGUCGUUAUUUGUCAUGGCUAUCAACUGACUGGUACUGAGUCAGUACUACUAACUGAGGUUAUCGGACAGCACAAAUCUCUAAAUACUUUUCAUGAUAUCGUUGAAAGUUAGACACAUGUAUGUACAUAUGUAUUUAGAUAUGUUCAUAAGUAUGCAUGUACGAUUUACGCUCUUUUCACGGAACUAUAUUUGUUAUAUUACUUUUGUACCAUUUCAGACUCUAAUCAAUAUCAACAAGUGAAAGAGGAAUAAUGACUGGAUCAGGUAAAUAUCUAAAUCUGAACAUGAGUGUAAAAAAUACACAGUCUUUGCAAGAAAUACUUGCUUAUUUAUGGAUACACAAUUCAAUAAAAUAAUUUAAAUUGCGGGCAUAUGAAGAUACAUAACUAAAAAACAGAUGUGUACGAAGGAAAUUAUUGUUUUGUUUGUCAUUAUUAAUUUUUGUGGCCAUGUGUACAUAUGUAUCUACAUAUAUGAACGGUAAAUAACAAAACGCCAGUCUUACUUCCAAAAAUCCCCUCGAAAUCGGAUGACUGUAUUUUUUAGCUAAUAUAAAAACCAUAAAUCUGUUGAUAAAAAGCCAACAUUUCGUGAUUGUCACUUUUCUAUUUUCAGUCCACGAUCCGAAAUGGAGCCUGGAAAGAAGGGAGUCGUCGGGUCAUUUGGUUUGGCGCAAGGAGUCCCCAGAAUCUAAGGUUCGAUUUCGGUUUGAUGUCGAGGUCCUGGAGUUUGAAAAGCAUCCACAUGAAGAGCUUGAGGAAAAAGAAGAUCACUUCUCAAUCUCAAAUCUGUCGACGACAAUUGCCUUGUGCGCCACCUGUGUUGCCGUUGUGGCCGCAACAGUGUUUUUGCCCUGGUAUCUUAUGGAGAGAGUUGGCUCGGUAUGAAGGCUCUGUCAGUAAAGAGCUAUAAAUACAUUUAUGUACAAUAUGUACACACAUCCGAUCCGUGACGGUAUUAAAUAGACUUUUGUGUAUAUACAACGUAGAUUUUAAAUUAGUUUAAAAUGUAAAUAGUACGUACAGUGUAAAUAUGACAUAUGACAUACGCAUAAAGAGCGUUUUUGAUAAUGACUUAUGUACAUAUGUAUAAAUGUACAUCAAUUAUAAAAUGAGGAUUAAAUUCUCAUACGUUUAUUUGAGUGCAGAUGAUGCCAGAUCACAUGCUGUUGCAGGAGAUCACAAGCAAUAAUGUAAUAAAUAAAAAACACUUACUUGCCUUCAAGAGUAGUCUUUUAAUUUGGUGUCUUAGCACGAAGUCAUUUCAUCAGCGAAGAUCUCUGAGUUUUUCAGCCAGACCUGAACAUUUUUCUCCAGCACAAUGCUACGGAUGCCUUUAUUUCGAGAUACUACUUGCAACUGGCGGCAACAACCAAUUAGACCUUGGUAAUAGUUCAUCCCUCGGCUACGGGCCAUUUUGGGGAAAAAUCACAAUCAUCCCCCGCAACGGUAACAUCCUUUUUACAACGCUCCUGGGUAGGGUAGGGUUGAUGGCGUAAUACCAUCUCUUCGGAUUGAUUAAUUUUCUUGUGGUUUAUGGCAGCGCUAAAAGCCCUUUUACAUCCAAUACAAUUUCACGCUAUUAAAUCAUUGGGUAUCGUGUGUAAAAAUGGCGGAGCGGCAAGAAAAAAAUGAUAUUAACGACCAACCCGGUCCUACAAUAAACCAGCUGCUUCUUUUGCUAACUAAUUGGAUAUAUUCACAAUCGGAAUAAAAUCAAAGCCAACGUUAAUGCUCAAACAGACAAAAUUAAUUUAAAUAUAUUUAAAAUUGUUGUAUUCAAAGAGCAUUCAUAAGAGUGCAUCUUUCAUAUGAAAUGAAGGCCGUGUAAGCAAAUGCGAGACAGUUUACCUAAAAAUUUGAAUGAUUUCACUUAUAAUUGCUACAAAGAUUGAUUUGUAAGUAACAAACAAUUUUUGUAUGGAAAAUAAAUGAUUUUACUUUACUGUUUUUGUGGGAUCCAUCUCCAUUGUAUCAUUGUAGCUUUAUUCUCCAGAGAGCAGCUCAAAUGCAGAACAGGUGCUCUAGCGUUUAUGCACGUUAGCAAUAUUUAAAAAGCAAUUAUCCGGUAACUUAACGUUCAGGCACGUGCACUUCGUAUAAAACGUUCCGAACGUUUAUACUUAAUGGAAACGCCAAUCGCAAACAUUAUGCCUAAGGGUAAAGUAGAAC
rnacentral:lncRNA from 1 species